rnacentral:rRNA from 1 species
UACAGAGGAGGCAAGCGUUGUUCGGAAUCACUGGGCUUAAAGGGCGUGUAGGCGGCCUGGCAAGUACUUUGUGAAAUCCCGGGGCUCAACCCCGGAACUGCAUUCGAUACUGCUUUGCUUGAGUACUGGAGAGGAGACUGGAAUUUACGGUGUAGCAGUGAAAUGCGUAGAUAUCGUAAGGAAGACCAGUGGCGAAGGCGAGUCGCUGGACAGUUACUGACGCUGAGGCACGAAGGCCAGGGGAGCAAACGGG